AAAAACAUAAACUUAGUAUUAGAAACCCUAAUUCCCAAAUGCUCCCUUCUCCUCCUGAAUCACACCCGAUCCUCCAAAGCUCCCUCCCACUUCCGCUUCUGCCUUGCUCCUCGCCCUCGCUCCCGCUUCCGCCUCGCCCUCGCUCCCGCUUCCGCUUCCACAGUUCUCUCCCACUUCCGCCUCGCUCCGCCUUCUUCGCCGCAGGUCCUGUGACCUCCCCACACGGAUUCGCUCCGAUUAUUCGGGCUCACAGCCGUCUUCCUCCUCUGAAGCUCCGUCGCUCCGAUUAGAUUAAACAUCGACCCUACCUUAUAAAUACCAACCGCGCUGCCUCAUUGCCUUCCCAAAUCUCUCAAAUUUUCUCUCGGGGCCUAGGGUUUGUGCUCUCGUUUCAAGAACCGCAGCAUUGUUCAUCGAUCUCGACUAAAAGCAGAAGGAACUAGAGCUAUGGGGAAGAGAAAGUCUCGGGCAAAGCCACCUCCUAAGAAGAGGAUGGACAGACUUGAUACGGUCUUCACUGCCCUUUCGCAACCAUGGCACAAGUGUGGAGUGCCGCCUGUAAGUUUCAAAGUUCCUUGUGUUUCUGUCUUUUUUCUCCUCUCAUAGGAAUGAGGCUGUUAUAGGUUUAUCCUCUGAACACUAACUUUGAAACUGCGCGACAUGUUUUGUUUUUUGAAACAGUGCAUGAUUAUAUCAUAAAAAGCUUUUUAUAGAUUUAAGACCAUUUUCC